UGUUGACUUAACGUUUUAAUUUUUCUUUUCUGUCUCUAGGUCAUCUCAGUUGACCUUCAACCAUACAUUUGGAAUACUCAAUCUUAUGGUCUCUAUUUACUCUGACUCAUUUACUCCCAAGUUGGAACAUAAAGAAGUGUUUAACCUAGGGUAACCUUCUUCAUUGAGUGUGUCCAGGAACCAAAGUGACAGUGCCUGAGGGAGGUAUAGCCACAGAUUCUGUGUGAGGAAUAGCAUCCCAUGACAAUGAAAUGAGGCGCUGCAACAAAUGACAUGCUUUCUCACAGAACCGUCACCAGAAUUAAAUGUAUGGCUUUGGCAUUCACAAAUGUGUGCAGACAUUCAUAGUUUCCAGGAGAUGCACCAUGAAGGGGCCUCAUGGUCUCUUGCCUCUGGACUAGAUCUCAUUUGUCCCUACAGCUAAAGAAAAAAUAAGAACUGAACAGCAAGGCAAAGAUCCAUUGCUUUUCAUCUUCAGCAAUAAUAAUUAUUAUUUCUUAUUUUAUGUUUAAAUAAUUUUCCUUUUGUUUAU
rnacentral:lncRNA from 1 species